AUUGAACGCUGGCGGCGUGCUUAACACAUGCAAGUCGAGCGGAGCGGCGAACGGGUGAGUAACGCGUGAGUAACUGCCCCCCUCCCUGGGAUAACAGUUGGAAACGGCUGCCAAUACCGGAUAGUGGGGGAUGACUCGCGUCCUAUCAGCUUGUUGGGGGGGUAGUGGCCGACCAAGGCGACGACGGGUAGCCGGCCUGGUAGGGCGACCGGCCACAAGGUGCUGAGAUACGGCCCAAACGCCUACGGGGGGCAGCAGUGGGGAAGAUUGCACAAUGGGGGAAACCCUGAUGCAGCAACGCGCGUGCGUGAUGACGGCCUUCGGGUUGUAAACCGCUUUCAGCCAUGACGCGGUAGUGGCAGAAGAAGCACCGGCUAACUACGUGCCAGCAGCCGCGGUAAUAC
rnacentral:rRNA from 1 species